rnacentral:misc_RNA from 1 species
CAUUAGUGCCGAUGUUUUGUUUGCGAAAAUUUUGUUUAUUUUCGUCAUAAAUAAACUAUUUAACACGCUUGCUAGAAGGCGUCUUGUUAAUAAUGUCGCAGCAGUUAAUAAAUGAAAAUAGUAAAUACAUAUUAGAUUUAUUUUCGGAGCAAACGGUAGACUCGCAGAGUUUAGACUCAAUAUGUGCUCAGGUACAAAAGAGAUUUCCGAAAACCGAGCAUUUCAAUUUGUGUCUACUCUUGUCAUCGCUGAUCACGGGAGGUGAUCUGUCGCUCCCUGGGCAGCGUGUGGUGGCGCUGGCGCUGCUGUAUGAUAUCUACAAAGUGGAUAAUCCAUUUGCUUCAUUAUUUCUCCACCUGCUGGAAGGCAAGCCAGGGCUACUGCCCCUAGUGUCCCAGGAGAGACUGUUUAUAGGACAAUUGCACGGGUUCUUGCCUGUUAAUAUUAAGGAUGUGCUUAAGAAGUCAGCAAAGCAAGUGAUGAUGACAGAAGUGUUGGCUAAGGAGCUGGAGUUUGACUACUCCCCGCUGCAGGCGCUGGUGGCCGACCGCGUCUCCGAGAUGAGCUCCAUGGCGCGGGCCACUGCCUCAGCGCUUAUACCGUUUAGUGAUGGGAGUCCCCCAAACCGCAUGGCCAUGAAGGAGCUACUAGAAGCCCUCAUGUCCACGGAGUACUCGCCGCUGCAGCGCACGUUGCAGGCCGCGGGGCCCAUCCCGCCGCCCACCUUCCUGCUGGACGCCAGCGACAUCGCCUUCACUGACGAGGCAGUAUGGAAGAACCUGGUGAAUCGCGGGGCGUACGUGCCUCUGUACGACAGCGAGUACGCCGGGCUGGCCGGGCUGCCCAAGGACAAGGCCGGCGCCCGGAGACACGCCGCCACGCCGCAUGCCAAGCCCAAGGAAGAGAAGAAACCAGAGAAACAAGAAGAGAAGCCGGCACAGAAGGCAACAUCAGAAGAGAAGGAGUCGUCGAACACAGUGACCGAGGCUAAGGAGCUGACGGCUCUCGCUCUGAAGGGCGCGCUGAGUGUUCAGCACCAGCAGCGUCUGCUGGCGCUGCUGGACUCGUCGCCCAGCCUCGUGUACGACAUCGGGGUGACGCCCUACCAGCUGCCAGAGCUGGUGGAGAACAACCCCCUCGUGGCGAUCUCGGUGCUGCUGAAGCUGAUCCACUCGCAGCACAUCACCGAGUACUUCAGCGUGCUGGUCAAUAUGGAGAUGUCGCUCCACUCCAUGGAGGUCGUCAACAGGCUGACGACGUCCGUGGACCUGCCGGUGGAGUUCGUGCACCUGUACAUCAGCAACUGCAUCUCCACCUGCGAGACCAUCCGCGACCGGUACAUGCAGAACCGUCUGGUGAGGCUCGUCUGCGUCUUCCUGCAGUCCCUCAUCAGGAACAAGAUCAUCAAUGUCAAGGAACUAUUCAUAGAGGUGGAAGCAUUCUGCGUAGAGUUCAGCCGCAUCAGGGAAGCGGCGGCGCUAUUCCGACUGCUCAAACAGCUGGACUCCGGAGAGGGAACGGGACACAAAGAUGCCAAGGAGAACUAGCAAGAAAGAGAGGGAUUGUAGCCUUUAUGUAUUCAAUGGCGGGUGUUAUUUCGUUUUCUUGCGCUCUAACAAAAGUAACGCGUCAAUGCGAACGAAAUAAGGGGCCUUAUUUCGAAACCACUCGUCUUCAACUCGCGUGGGAGAAUCUAUACCUGUCUCAUCUUGCAAAUGACAAGUUCUGAUGUGCUACGUGAAACGGGUAUAUACAGGGCGUUAGUGACAUCGUAACGAAAACUUUGAGGGAUGAUUCAAAGUGUUCCAUUUUUCCAUUUGAUAUUAACUCAGAAUCAUGGUCUAAAUCAUCCCCAUCAGUAUUCGUUACGAUGUCACUAACACCCAUACUUGUAUGGCAACCUGUGUGAGAAAUGAUUCAGUUCAUUAUUCUGAGUUAAUAUUAAGUGGAAUUUUCAAUCGCAAAAGUAUAUAGUAUAUAAUUGAAAAUAAUUUAAAAAAAACAUGAAUUUUCUGACAGGAAACACCACUUGAUAUUAACUCAGAAUCAUGGUCUGAAUCAUCCCCUUAGUAUUAGUUACAAUGUCACGAACACCCUGUAUAUUCGAACGUGAGAUGAAGGCGAACGAGUCAAACAUAAAGCCCACUAUCCGCGCGCUCUUUGAUGAAAUCACCGAGACUUUUUUAGAGUUUUUUUUUCCUUUGAUGGGUUUGCUCUUGGCCCCAGACUUGCCCGAAGGCAUUGACGAGGCCUAACAUGGAGCGAGCUCGCCCAGAAGGUGCCUGUUCUCUCUGGCCUUGAAAGCACCCGGGUUAUAUGCAUUCGGAAAUACAGAAGACGGCAGAGAAUUCAACUCCCAGUGAUUUCUCUGUUACGUACAUUGAUAUAUAAGUACCGAAGAUUUAACAUAAGCGCUCAAAAAGUGGGACGAAACAGAGCAGAAAUAGCAAUGCAUGCUCUGACAUUCCGUAGUACGGUCACGAGCAUUAAUAUGUAUACACUUUGGUACCAUGUC